CAGCGUCAGUGGAACAGAAAGAGAGAGAGAGAGAAAGAGAGAGAGAGAGAGAGAGAAAGAGUGGGAGAGGGGGAGACAGGCAACAUUGGUUUGGCCAUGACAAAAUGGAGAGAAACAGCACAGGUUUGGGCCCUUUAUGCGCAGGAUGGCUGAUGAGAGAUGUUCUUAAGUGACCUGGGUAUGUUGGUUUAGAACGUUUGCUCUUGAGUUCUAACUCUGGUGGAAUCUUCCUCAGAAGAAGCCAUUGGAGAUCUGCCCAUGACUGUGAUCCACUGAGUCCCUCUCCUGUAUUGAGUUAAAGAUAUCCAGUCCCCUUUCUUCCCCACCCCAGCAGCGAGAAGAAACUGGAGAUGCAAAAAGCUGCCCAAGACCAUAGACUUUUGGAGGCUGUCUUUCCUAAGGUCCCAUUAGCAUGGGGUGUCAGUCAGCAGCCUCUCCCAUCUCUAAAGGGACACCAGCCUCACUGCUGCCUGAAGCCAGAAACAUCCACAACUUUGUCAACAAGCCACAGACUUGCCUUGCAGGGCUUCAACAGGACUCUGGGGCACAUGGAUGAUCAUAUCUCACAACUAGCCCUCAAGGUUCCAGUUGUCUCAUCAGCCAUUCCAUGUGGCCUCCCCAAAAAGGCAUUCAGAGCAGAAGCUUUCUGGACCAAUGUCCAAUCCGAACAAUGAUGGUACCAGCAGAGCUCACCCCCAAACAGGACACAACUCCAAGCAAAAAAAACACAACUACUUCCUGCAGGUCCCUGCUGAGGCCAGCACGCUUUAUACCAAUGCCCAGCUGGAGAAAGAAUUCCAUGUUAUCAGGUAUCCCUGCUGACAGUGGAGCGUGAGAUUGGCUCAGCUGCUCAACCUCAAGCUCUGGUUCCAGAUUCGAAGGAUGAAGGACAACAGAAGAGAGGGAACUGAGAACCUGUCCCCUAGCAGCUGGGUGGGUAGGAUGUGCCCAGGCGCCAGUCCUACAUCAAGGCCCAAGGAGAUGUGCGGGUUGACAGCCCGUCUCUGACAGCCCUUGUGCAGCUGUCCUGGAAGUUGGAUCCUCCUCUGUCUCUGCAAGGGAAGUGUCAUUACGAAUCCCCCUAAUCUGCAAAGGAGCUGGAGUGAGAAAAUUACCUGGAAAACAUGCCUGGGGCCAGCUCACUCUUCAGCCACAGCUACGCUAUAAACUUGGACCACAGCUGUGCUGCUCAAAUUCCCAGCCAGUGCUACCUUGGGGCCCUGUAACCCCCAUCUCACUUAAACAGACUUAAACACACAUCCUGCACUUCAGGGAAGUUCUCCGGAACUGCAGUUCUUGUGCAUCUGUGAGGGCUCUCUGCCACGGAAACCAAGCUGGGAAAAUUGCUACAGUCCUAUUAUGUCAUUAAAAAACAAAAACCAAAACAAAAUAGAAAAAACCUCUAAGUGUAACCAACAGUAUCCUUUGAUUUCCUCACCCCCUCUAUUCCCAAUUACCUCCUGCUUAUUAAAUUGUACAGAGAUCUGUGCAUAAGGCAUCUAGGAACUGGUGUGUGCAUAUAACCCAGCCAAUAACAGGACAAGUUCUGUGUGAGCUUAUAACUCGCUCCAUGUAUUUUAUUAAAGUUGAUUUUACUCAGCUGCUUACCAGUGACUUUGUCGGGUACAAAGGUGUCAAUAGCUACCCUUUAAAUAUCCUUACAAUCCUUAAACUUCCUCCAAGCCUAGGGCAACAUUUUUUGAAAAACAACUCUUGAUUUUAUCUACCUCACUUUCUGGGGGGCGUAUCUUAAAAGGAGUCUGAUUUUCAGAAAGGGUUGAGCUCCCAUCCUCUGCAAAUUAGGCAGCCAGAGAUUUUCUCAUGAGGGUGGUUUUUCCUUUAACCCCUCACAUUCCCCCUACCUGGAAAGAACAUAGCUGCGGCACUUCUAUUAGCCAGUGGGUUAUUGUUUGAUAAGCAAAUGUAGAUGUAAACAUGUUUGAACCCACUCAAAAUUUGACCCUGCAAUAAGUUAGCUUCUCACUGUAAUUU